GGUUUAAAUAAAGAGAUGAUUUAGGUAAGGAUGGGUCCUAGGUUGGUUAUCCUAUAGGAUCACCCUACGCAAUGUCCAGUAAACACUCCUCAAUGAGGGGCUACACAUAAUAUUAUUGCGUAGUCAUCAUAUCCCAUGUCUACCUUUCCCAUCCCCUUAUUGGUCAUGCAAAGCGAGUGAUUGGUCAAUGGUUCCUAUUGCGUGCUGCUACCCGUCCCUUCUUAAUGGUCCUACAGGGAGUUAGGACCUCUACCUAUAGGUAGUUCUAGACGUACCCCUAAGGUUUAGAAAGGCGAAAAUUCUAAGGCAACAGUCAAAAUAUUCAGGACUUUCACAUAAUGGGAGCAAUUAAGAGGCUCAGAGUUUCCUCCUCAAACAAACACAUAAGCAGCACGGCUCAAACACAGUUAAGGUCUUUUAUUAAAAAAUGUCCUAAAGCAGGAUAUCCAAGUGAAUAUGUAGAAACAAACAACCCCCUUUUUUAGACUCAGAAGUUACACCCUAGUGGUUGCCUAGGGACUCUUUUUAAAAGCCUGUUAGAAUCAGAAACGUUAAGUGACAGAGACAGUUUCAGAGAAAUGCAAUUGUUGAAAACGCCCUUAGGCUUGCCUAUAUACAGAAUAAUGGUGUCUAUGUUAAUGCAGAAAUCAAACAGAUUUUGAAAUAAUCUCCUUAAAUACCUAUAGGCAUGAUAUCUAAUGAGGUUGAGACAAUUUGAAAGAGCUUGUUUCAAAAAAUGCUUAAUACUUAAUAAGACCAGUUUAAAAAUGAACUAGGCGUAAUGAAGUUGAUUUGUUAGACUAAAUUAAAUUAUCAGACAGUAUUGUGAGUAGAGAUCCAUAUAGGCAUGAUAUCUAGGUGGAUUACUGAUUUUAGUCGAUUUGCAGCAACAUAAAGAAAUACUCAUUAUAACUGAAUUGGAAUUGAGUCAUAUAGGCAUGACAUCUAUUAUUGAACUAAUUUAAGACAUGAUUGUUUGGAACCUAUAAACAUGGUUUCUAACAUGUCAGAAUGCAAACCUUCUAGACAUGGUUUCUACUUGAUGAGCAAACAAACAUAAAAGUGAAAUCCUAUUGACAUGAUUUCUAUUAGGCGAAGCAAUCAGAUUAAAGAGCAAACCUAUGAGCAUGUUUUCUAUUAAAGCAAUCAGAUUAAAGAGUGAAACCCUAUGAGCAUGUUUUCUAUUGAGUAAAGCAGACAUACUCUAAAAGUAAGAUCCUAAGAGCAGGAUUUCUACCCGUAUUACCCCAUAAAGUAUACAUCUACCCAUCCCUUUUACUAAAUACCCCAAAUAUCUGUAUACAAAUUAUUAUAGGCCAAUGAAUGAAUUACAUAAGUAGAAAUAGAAAAUCAAGAAGCUAUUCUAUAGGGAGCCUUCAAGUAGGCCCAGGUUUCCCAAAGCCUCCAAUGGUCUCAUAAGCCUCAGUUCCAUAGAUAAAUAGAGUCUAGGUGCAUCAAAGUUCCUUAAGGGUCUCAAGGACCCCGGGAAAUGCUUACACCUAGACUUAAUAACCAAAGAAUUGAACAAGUGUAGUGUGAAAAGGUCGCCUCAGUAUGCCAGAGUUCAGAGGGCUCUCAAAAAGAUCCCAAGGCAGUACACAUACUAGAGGGGGCAGAACUUAUUGACUAAGGGUAGAGUGAAAGUGAAGGACACAAGUUAAAAAAGGUUCAAUAAAAGACUAUUAGAAAAUCUGUGUUGAAAGUAAUUUAGUAAAGCAACAGAGAUUGUUUGGAAAAGAGAUUGGAGUAGUAAACAAAGUUCAAAACCCCUUAGGAUAGGAUCAUACACAGCUAGUUCACAGAACCAAGUGAAUUCAGUAGUCACACAGGGGUUAAGGGGUUUGAGUCACAUAGAACAUUUGGCUGCAAACACAUAACCCAGCAAAGGUUUUAGGGCUGGUUGAGACAAGCUCAGAAACAGUAACACUGGCAUAGUCACAGAACCAGUCAUGAAAAACACAAACACAUAGAAGGGUGAUAGGGAUUUGGGGAUCCAUAGGAUAUAGAAUGGUAAGUACACAACAAGCAAGAGAUAAAUGGUAAGGCAUGCUCAUAAAUACACAUAAGGGGAAUGUACUAAUCUAAAGGAAGGGGAAGACAUAAUAACAUGCUGAUAAUGUAACUCUUAACUACAAAUUUCACAACAGAACCACAAAUAGAAACAAACCAGAAACCAGAGAAACUGAAACAAUAGGAGAAGCAUGUUGUUAUUGGAACUUUAAAUUGAAACUAGGACAUACCAGUGAAGAGGAGAGUAAGCAAAAUGAAAGAACAAGAGAGCACAAAUGGUUAGCCUCGGCUUGCAUUCAGCUAACAGUAGCAGAUAGCACAAGAGAGAGAGCAGAGAUUGUCACACCUCCUUUUCGUACCCCCGGAAGGGAUAUAAGAGAGUUUUUCCAAUUUAAGUGACAAUCGAAACAGGAUUAUUUAUUUAAAAACAGAGUCGCCACUUAGGAUAAUUUAUGGUGUCCCAAGUCACCAUUUUAAAUCCCAAAUCGAGGAAUAGAUUGACUCUGUUUUACAGUCCCAAAACACAGAAAUCUGAGUAAGGAAUUAUGUUAACCCGGAAGAAGGUAUUAGGCAUUUUCG
rnacentral:lncRNA from 1 species